UAGCUCACUAGUCGAGUGCUCUUGCGCGGAUAAUGUACCGGGGCUAAGCAUAUUACCGAAACUGUGGAUGCGUAAGCAUGGUAGGAUAGCGUAAUUAACGCGAUGAAGGAUGACCGUAAGGACAUGUUGGAGCGUUAACUAGUGAGAAUUCCGGUAUGAGUAGCGAAAGAUAGGUGAGAAUCCUAUCCACCGAAUGAGUAAGGUUUCCCCCGGAAGGCUCGUCCGCGGGGGGUUAGUCGGGACCUAAGGCGAGGCUGAAAAGCGUAGUCGAUGGACAACAGGUUGAUAUUCCUGUACCGAUAUUUAAUUGCCGAAGGAAGGACGCAGAAGGAUAACACAGGCCACUAUUGGAUGUGGUUUUAAACAGUUAGUCUUCAUAAGAGUCAAAUGCUUUUAUGUUUAAGGAUAAGCUGUGAAUGUACCAAGUUUACUUGGAAAUUGUGUGAUUUCACGCUGCUGAAAAAAGUUUCGUAGGAAGAAAAUAUUGCCCGUACCGCAAACCGACACAGGUACUCAAGUGGAGAACACUAAGGUGAGCGAGUGAACUAUUGUUAAGGAACUCUGCAAAAUGAGUCCGUAACUUCGGAAGAAGGACUGCUGGUUUUAUACCAGCCGCAGCAAAUAGGCCCAAACAACUGUUUAUCAAAAACACAGGUUUCUGCAAAAUCGUAAGAUGAAGUAUAGGGGCUGACGCCUGCCCAGUGCUGGAAGGUUAAAAGGAGGACUUAGCUUCGGCGAAGGUCUUAAUUGAAGCCCCAGUGAACGGCGGCCGUAACUAUAACGGUCCUAAGG
rnacentral:rRNA from 1 species